CAGCUGGAAACGGCUGCUAAUACCGCAUGCGCCCUACGGGGGAAAGAUUUAUCGCCGAAGGAUUGGCCCGCGUCUGAUUAGCUAGUUGGUGAGGUAAUGGCUCACCAAGGCGACGAUCAGUAGCUGGUCUGAGAGGAUGAUCAGCCACACUGGGACUGAGACACGGCCCAGACUCCUACGGGAGGCAGCAGUGGGGAAUAUUGGACAAUGGGCGCAAGCCUGAUCCAGCCAUGCCGCGUGAGUGAUGAAGGCCCUAGGGUUGUAAAGCUCUUUCAGCGAGGAGGAUAAUGACGUUACUCGCAGAAGAAGCCCCGGCUAACUUCGUGCCAGCAGCCGCGGUAAUACGAAGGGGGCUAGCGUUGUUCGGAAUCACUGGGCGUAAAGCGCACGUAGGCGGACUUUUAAGUCAGGGGUGAAAUCCCGGGGCUCAACCUCGGAACUGCCUUUGAUACUGGAAGUCUGGAGUCCGAGAGAGGUGAGUGGAACUCCGAGUGUAAGGUGAAAUUUCUUAGAUAUUUCGGAAUAACACCAGUGGCGAAGGCGGCUCACUGGCUCCGGUA
rnacentral:rRNA from 1 species